ensembl:lncRNA
GGCCUUGGUGCCCCUAGGCGGAAAAGUGGAGCUCCUGGAAGGACGCUGGCCUCUCUUGCUGGCUCUCCUUUGGUCCACAGCGGAGAAGCACAUGGCCCCUGUUUGCUUUUGCCUGCAGUCUACAGAGCAAACUCUGAUAGUGACCAGGUUGUUCUUGCAGAGGAGGACCUGGGCAGUCACCAACAUCUACAGGCUGGAAAGAAAACUGUAACAACUUAAAAAUAUUCUGGACCUGCAAAGGAACCAGAUUUCGGAGUGAAAUCCUAGAUCAAAAAAGAAAAAAAGUUAAAUGAGCUUGAACAAAUGACAGCUAAGCUUUUCUUGUCAUUGACUGGUCAUCAAUAAAUAUAUUAAAGAGGACAGGCCCCAGCACCGACCUCUGGGGAUCACCACUCGUGACCGGUCGCCAGCUGGAUUUAACUCCAUUCACCACCACUCUCUGGGCCCGGUCCGCCAGCCAGUUCCUUACCCAGCCAAGAGUGUAUCUGUCCAAGCCACGGACUGCCAGCUCCUGCAAGAGAAUACUAUGAGAGACAGUGUCAAAGGCUUUGCUGAAGUCUAGGUAGACUACACCAACAGCCUUUCCCUCAUCCACCAGAUGGGUCACUAGAUCAUAGAAGGAGAUCAGGUUGGUCAAGCAGGAGCUGCCCUUCGUGAACCCAUGCUGGCUAGGCCUGAUCCCUCGGUUGUCCUGCAUAUGCCGUGUGAUCUCCGUCAAGACAACCUGCUCCAUAAUCUUCCCCAGCACCGAAGUCAGGCUAACAGGCCUGUAGUUCCCCGGAUCCUCCCUGAAGCCCUUCUUGUAGAUGGGAGUCACAUUGGCAAGCCUCCAGUCUUCUGGGACCUCACCCAUCCAAGUGAGCGCUUCAUCUAUUUUCUGCAGGAAUUUUGGAUUCCUUGGUUUACAGCUCCUGUGUGUGUGAGUGGAUGUGUGUGUGCAUAUAAUGUACUAAUAGGACAGUUCAGAAACUGUCAUUGCUAGUGUCUUUUAGAGAAUUUUAAUAAAGAGGAUAAAGUACAUGUUCUGCAUCAAGAUCCAGGGAGAUUCAAGGCUCUGUCAAGACUAUGAAUGCCAUUAAUGAUUUCGACAAGUUCCAAUUAUGAUUUUCAGUGACAAUCAAUGAGAUAUUUGCAGUUACAGUAGUCAUGUACUUGGCAAUCAUCUCUUGAAACUGCUUUUAUUUCUCUGACAGAAGGAUGUAGAUAGUACAUUGUUAAUUAAUUGAUGCCUUCUUAUUUUGCUAUAUUUUAUUAGAAGAGGCAGAGAAUCAAGUGCUAAUUACUUACUUGAAUUUUACCAUAGAAAUAUAUAUAAGGUAACUGAUGCUCUUUGAUCAUAACUCAGCUCGAUCCUUAGCUGUUUACAAUCUAGACUAAUUUGUUUUCCUAACUGAACAAAUUUUACACCUUAUAAAACUGUUUCAAUGAAUUAUAUCAAACACUUCAAAUGUUGCCUUCGAAUGCUGCGAAUGGCCUAACUCAAAUUAGACGGACCUCAAGUCUGAAUUGAUUUACUUUAUAUAUCACCCAGAAUAAAUAUUCUGCAUACUC